UGCCCUGCUGCCCUUCACCCCUUCUGCACCUGCACUCAGGUGCACAACGUUUUCUCAUAUAAUUUUUGCCAACUUUACAGGGACGUACGAUUACGUCCAUCGUACAGACAGAGAGGCUAAAGCUUUGAGGUGCGGACUCUCUGAUCCACUCAGUAACUACUGAGAACCACACGUGCCAGGACAACCCUAGGCCCUGGGGAAAUUGCGGUGAGACAGGCGGAUGCCACCCUGCCCUGACCUCUGGAUGCUCUCGCUGUCGCCGAGGGUGACAGAUGAUAAACCAGGCUGGAUGCCUUCUCUGGAUCGAAGUAUGCAGAUGUCACAGCGCAGCUGGGGCAGGAAGGUGACGUCACUCCCCUGCUGAGAGCUGGCAUAAAAGGAGGAACUUGUCCAGGGUGUGAUGUGUGUGACCCAUGGCUGGUGGGCAGACGUGCCUGUCCACUCCCAGGUCUGCAGAGGCAGCUCUUGGUCAGUGAAUGAGCCAGGAACCACAUCCCUGCAUGAUGUCAUUGGGAAAACCCCACUAAUGAUAAGUUCCGUGCCAGAUCCUGAGAGGACAGCACGUUGCAUCUUACUAAACUGUGCCAACACCCCUGUGAAAUCGAUGCAGUGAUUGUCCCAGUUUGCAGACAGAGAGACGGGGACUCAGAGACGUGAGUAUCUCGUGCAGAUGAGAAGCUGUCCCCGCUAUGCACACUUUACCCGUUUAAUCAGCGCCAUUCAGGGCGUCGCACAUCUUAAGCAGGAAGUUGUUUCGGUUUUGACAAACGCAUAAACUCUAAUAAACACCGGCAAGUCCGCCACAGCCACGUCCUACCCCCGCACACCGGUCAGCCCAGCAUCUGCCAACUACCGAUCCACUUCCUAUACUAACGGGCUCCAGUGUCAGAGACAUGAAACCCAACAGCAUGAACGCUGCUGUGUCUUCCAUGUCUGCAAACUUCUUUUGCUCAGCGUGACGUUGCUGAAAUUCAUGUUCCUGCUUCUAUCGGUGACCCUUUCUUGCUGCCGACCACCACUCAUUGUCCAAACGUUCCCCUCACAGACAUCUGGCUUGUUCCCUGGCCCCACUCCUACCAACGAGCCCGCUGUGACCAUUCACGUGGUGCAGUCUUUUUCCGAGUAUGGAUUUUUCAUUCUCUUUGGUAAAUAUCUAGAAACAGAA